rnacentral:tRNA from 1 species
GGGCCUAUAACUCAGCUGGUUAGAGUAGCUGACUCAUAAUCAGCAAGUCCUUGGUUCGAGCCCAAGUGGGCCCA